rnacentral:rRNA from 1 species
CGGACGGGUGAGUAAUGUCUGGGAAACUGCCCGAUGGAGGGGGAUAACUACUGGAAGCGGUAGCUAAUACCGCAUAACGUCGCAAGACCAAAGAGGGGGACCUUCGGGCCUCUUGCCAUCGGAUGUGUCCAGAUGGGAUUAGCUAGUAGGUGGGGUAAAGGCUCACCUAGGCGACGAUCCCUAGCUGGUCUGAGAGGAUGACCAGCCACACUGGAACUGAGACACGGUCCAG